rnacentral:rRNA from 1 species
GACGAACGCUGGCGGCGUGCUUAACACAUGCAAGUCGAACGAUGAAGCCUAGCUUGCUAGGUGGAUUAGUGGCGAACGGGUGAGUAAUACGUGAGUAACCUACCUUUAACUCUGGGAUAAGCCUGGGAAACUGGGUCUAAUACCGGAUACGACCAAUCUCCGCAUGGGGUGUUGGUGGAAAGCGUUAUGUAGUGGUUAUAGAUGGGCUCACGGCCUAUCAGCUUGUUGGUGAGGUAACGGCUCACCAAGGCGACGACGGGUAGCCGGCCUGAGAGGGUGACCGGCCACACUGGGACUGAGACACGGCCCAGACUCCUACGGGAGGCAGCAGUGGGGAAUAGUGCACAAUGGGCGCAAGCCUGGUGCAGCGACGCCGCGUGGGGGAUGACGGCCUUCGGGUUGUAAACCUCUGUUAGCAGGGAAGAAGAGAAAUUGACGGUACCUGCAGAGAAAGCGCCGGCUAACUACGUG